ACCUGAAACUGUUAACAAGCCCCAUCCUGUCCGAUCUCGGAAGCUAAGCAGGAUCAGGCCUGGUUAGUACUUGGAUGGGAGACCACCUAGGAAGACCAGGUGCUAUAGGUG
rnacentral:rRNA from 1 species